UUUGUAAUCUGAGACCUCAGACUCAUGGGGGACUGACAAGCAGUUAUAAAGCUAUGUCCACCAAACAUUGUUUGCACUCUGAAUCAGGAAAAUUUCGGCUACCAUCAUGUUAAGGGUUGUCUGUAGUGAUUUUUGACAUAAAAGCAAGCAUUAGUAAGCUCAAGUCUACAAAAAGAAAUGAGUUACUCAGUCUCCAGUUGAGGCUUCUAUAAUCAGCUUCUGCUUCCAUUUAGGAAAAUUUCUUUUAGACUGAAUAUUGCCUUGAGGUCUUGAAUAAAGACACAAUUAUAUAUUAGCAAAUCUGAGUUCUUCAGAUUUCUAGUGCCAUACCUGGGCAGUUGUACAUCUAGGAUUCAUGAACAGGCAGCCUGGGACCAAAUUUGUCCCGGGAAGUACUCAACUAAUAAGCAAAAAUGGUGUUUCUUGGCCCUAUGUAUAGGCCUCAUCUAUGAGGCUUUACAUAUAAAACUUCUUUCAAUAUCUGUGGUAUUAUUCUCAGGUGUGAAAUCCUUUAAAAAAAAUGCAGUGAUAGGGACUAGUAACUUUAUUGUUUAUAUUAAAUUGUAGUGGAUUCUAGAGGGUGUUGUCUGGAUUUCCAAAUUAUUCAUUUCCCUAGCUGUCUGCCACCACUCCUAGCCAGAUCCCUGCCAAAGUAUAGCCCUGAGCUGAAAAGAGCUGCCUCACCCAAGGUUAUGCUCCCUUCUGGGAGCAGCUGAAUGCAGUGCUUUGUUGAUGCAGGAUGGAAAGGCCCAGCUCCAGAGCUCUUCAGCUGAGGCCUUUGCUGCAGCUUCAUUGCGGUUCAGCUGCUCUCUCUUCAGUCAGGCUUCGCUCACUCCCUUAAAGAUGUCGUUCUGAAGAGCACUUCCCAACAAAUUCCCUGCAAGAAGGUCUGCCUCCUCAUGUUUUCCAGAGGAGCUGACCCAAGACACUACCCCUGGAGUAUCACUGAAGAAAAGCAUUGUAAUAAUAAUAAUCGAUGGCAUUCAACUGUAAAUACUUGAGGGCUGAAUAAUCAUUUAAUUGGAUGAGCUGAUAAUAUGAAAGUUUAAAAAAUAGUAUAACUUUUGCUUUUAUACCACAUUUAAAAAAUAAGACAUGGCAGAAAGAAUUGCCACUUGUACAUUCACAGUGUUGUUCAGUCAUCACCACUAUCCAUUUCCAGAAGAGAGUUCUCUUCUUGAUGUCUUCCUUUCCUUCUUCCUGGUCAUUGUCAAUCCAAAGCCAUUGGCCCCCACCCCCCGGCACUCAAGGCCUCUAUCCCAAUGACUUCCUAAUUGAUAAAUGCAGUGAACUCUUCAGUCUUGAUGUCGGCUUUUUUUCACAUCAGAUAUUGGUGAACACUUCCUUCUUGAAACUCUUGCCUUCUUUAAUUUUGAUUAAAUGGAUUAUAUUCGUUUGUCAUUCCACAAGUAUUUAUUGAGUAGCUAGCACAUCUAGGGCAUUGUCCUAUGGGUUGUGCAUACAACAAUAAAUAAAACAGGCAGUCUCUGCCCUCGAGCUUUCAUUCUAGCACACACAGAACAAUGCACGUGUAGUACAGCACAUGAUGAGAAGUGCUGUGAAGAAAAGUAAGUAGAAUAAGGGAGAGAUAGUAAACAAAGUGGGUCUGUGGAUUGCUAUUUAUAUGGGGUCUAUUUAUGAAGAGACCUGACAAAAGUGAGGGGUUGAGAACCAUGACAUUCUGGAAAGAUGUUCCAGACAGAAGGAACCUCAGGUGCAAAGGCCUUGAGAUAGAUGAAGGAGUGUGUGACAUGUUUGAGAAGCAGCCAGAGGCUGUUGUGGAGAGAUUAAGAAGAGUAGUAAGAAAUGAGAUCAAAGAGGUGAUGGUGGUGGGGCAAUUCAAAUGUUAGAGGGCACUGAAGAUGGCCUUGAGAGCUCUGUCUUUGAAUCUGAGAGAUAUGGAAAACCACUGGGAUUUGAGCUGAUGAAAGACAUAAUCUGACUUGUUCUGUGAUGGAGCAAACUGGUAAAACAUGGGGUGGAAGCAAGGAUAUGAGUUACGGGAUUAUUGCAAUAAUCUUAUUAAGAGAUGAUGGUGAUUUAGACCAGGUGGUAGCAGUGAAGUGUGAAGGAAUGUGUGGGUUCUUGCUAUGUUUGAAGGUGGAGCCAACAAGAUUUCUGAAUGGAUUGAAUCCAAGGUAUAAGAAAAAGAAAUCAAGAAUUACUCCCAAGAUUUUUGGCCUGAGCCAAAGGAGGAAUGGUAUUGCAAGUUACUGAGAUGGGAAGACUGAGGAAAGAGGUUUGUAGGGGAAGAUCUAAAGUAGUUCGGUUUUGAUUAUGUCAUGUUUGAUAGGCCAGGGACGAUGUCAAAUAAGCAGUUUCAUCAAUAAAUUGGGUUCAGAAGAUUUGGUUAAAGCUGAUGAUAAAUUUGGGAUUUUGUCAGUAUAUAGAUGGUAUUUAAUAAAAUCAUGAGACUAGAUGAUAUUACUUAGCUAGUAAGUAUAGAUAGAAAAGAGAGAAAGCAACUAAAUAUUGUAGGGAUAAAUAUAAUGAUGGCUAGCAUUUAUUAAGUGCUUAUUGCUGUGUUCUAAAUGUGAAGAGCUUUGCAUGCAUUAGCAACCUAUGAGACAGGGUUAGUAUUGUGUUAGAUGAGCUGAGUUUUCUCAUCUGCUCAAUGAUAUGUCCGAGGGUAGUUGUGAAAUAGUAAGUGAAAUAAUGUAUGGUUAGUGAGGCAGAGAAAUAUUAUCUUGACUGCUUAUAUCAGAAUUUCUCUUAGUCUUCAUUUGGAAAAACGUCUUAUUAAAACUUGGGUGGGAGAGAGUGAGCCUUUUGUAUUGGUUGCUGUCAAAGUGUAAUGAGGGAGAAAAACUUGGAAUUUUAAAGGCAAUCUGACGAAGGGGUGAAGAGAAAGAAAAAUGAGAAUAGAGAGGGAUGGUGGGACUGGGUUAGGUAAGAAAAGCUCCCAGGGACAGAACUGGAGGAUAUUUGAAUAACUGUUGCUCUCCAUGUAGUUGUUUGCUACAGAGUGCUGGAAGCAGCCCUCCCUUCUUCUCUUUCCCACCAUGAAAUCUUGCUGAAAUGUUGGGAAGAGGCAGAGUUUUGUGAGUGAAUCCAUGUGACGCAGGACAGAAGCAGCAAGUGUGACAUGGGAGCCCGGACACAGAAGCACAGAUGUUGGGUGUGCGAUAACGGAGCAAGUCAAAAAACCCUGCUGUCGUUCUCUGAGUGGUGCUGUCCCUGUGCACAAUGCCAGCCAUCUGAUAUUUGUGCUAAGUGGAAUUACUGAGAGAAACAUCAGUGGGGCAGCUUACCAACAUGACAGAUUGUGGGAAGGACUCUCCGUGCAGCAAAUGGACAUUUGGAUUCCCUAACAUGCAUCCAGAAAAGGAGAUGAGAACCUCCGUUCCUCAGAUGCUUGGUAUUUCACCCUUGGUUGCAACCUCAGGCAUCCAUCUGGUCAAGGCUCUGAAGUGG